rnacentral:rRNA from 1 species
GGGGAAUAUUGCACAAUGGGCGAAAGCCUGAUGCAGCGACGCCGCGUGAGUGAAGAAGGUUUUCGGAUUGUAAAGCUCUGUCAUCUGGGACGAUAAUGACGGUACCAGAGGAGGAAGCCACGGCUAACUACGUGCCAGCAGCCGCGGUAAUACGUAGGUGGCAAGCGUUGUCCGGAUUUACUGGGCGUAAAGGAUGUGUAGGCGGAUAUUUAAGUGAGAUGUGAAAUCCCCGGGCUUAACUUGGGGGCUGCAUUUCAAACUGUAUGUCUAGAGUGCAGGAGAGGAAAGCAGAAUUCCUAGUGUAGCGGUGAAAUGCGUAGAGAUUAGGAAGAAUACCAGUGGCGAAGGCGACUCUCUGGGCUGUAACUGACGCUGAGGCGCGAAAGCGUGGGGAGCAAAC